GACGAACGCUGGCGGCGUGCCUAAUACAUGCAAGUCGAACGCAGUGGGGACGGGUGAGUAACACGUGGGUAACCUCCCAUCAGAGGGGAUAACACUUGGAAACAGGUGCUAAACCGAUACUGAUGGAUGGACCCGCGGUGCAUUAGCUAGUUGGUGAGGUAACGGCUCACCAAGGCCACGAUGCAUAGCCGCCCGGAGAGAGGUGUCGGCCAGACGGGGACUUAGACACGGCCCAGACUCCUACGGGAGGCAGCAGUAGGGAAUCGUCGGAAAGGGACGAAAGUCUGACCGAGCAACGCCGCGGUAGUGAAGAAGGUUUUCGGAUCUUAAAACUCUGUUGUUAGAGAAGCGGUAUCUAACCAGAAAGCCACGUCUAACUACGUGCCAGCAGCCGCGGUAAUUC
rnacentral:rRNA from 1 species